rnacentral:rRNA from 1 species
AUUGAACGCUGGCGGAAUGCUUUACACAUGCAAGUCGAACGGCAGCACGGACUUCGGUCUGGUGGCGAGUGGCGAACGGGUGAGUAAUACAUCGGAACGUGCCCAGUCGUGGGGGAUAACGUAGCGAAAGCUACGCUAAUACCGCAUACGAUCUACGGAUGAAAGCGGGGGAUCGCAAGACCUCGCGCGAUUGGAGCGGCCGAUGGCAGAUUAGGUAGUUGGUAGGGGAAAGGCCUACCAAGCCGACGAUCUGUAGCUGGUCUGAGAGGACGACCAGCCACACGGGGACUGAGACACGGCCCAGACUCCUACGGGAGGCAGCAGUGGGGAAUUUUGGACAAUGGGCGAAAGCCUGAUCCAGCCAUUCCGCGUGCAGGAUGAAGGCCCUCGGGUUGUAAACUGCUUUUGUACAGAACGAAAAGGCUCUGGUUAAUACCUGGGGCUCAUGACGGUACUGUAAGAAUAAGCACCGGCUAACUACGUGCCAGCAGCCGCGGUAA